rnacentral:rRNA from 1 species
UACGUAGGGUCCGAGCGUUGUCCGGAAUUACUGGGCGUAAAGAGCUCGUAGGUGGUUUGUCGCGUUGUCCGUGAAAACUCACAGCUCAACUGUGGGCGUGCGGGCGAUACGGGCAGACUGGAGUACUGCAGGGGAGACUGGAAUUCCUGGUGUAGCGGUGGAAUGCGCAGAUAUCAGGAGGAACACCCGUGGCGAAAGCGGCUCUCUGGGACGGUACUGACGCUGAGACGCGAAAGCGUGGGGAGCAAACAGG